UACGGGGGGAGCAAGCGUUGUUCGGAUUUACUGGGCGUAAAGGGCGCGUAGGCGGUCGUGACAAGUCACUUGUGAAAUCUCCGGGCUUAACUCGGAACGGUCAAGUGAUACUGUCGGACUAGAGUACAGAAGGGGCAACUGGAAUUCUCGGUGUAGCGGUGAAAUGCGUAGAUAUCGAGAGGAACACCUGCGGCGAAGGCGGGUCUCUGGGCAGUAACUGACGCUGAGGAGCGAAAGCGUGGGGAGCGAACAGG
rnacentral:rRNA from 1 species